rnacentral:lncRNA from 1 species
AACAUGCAUGGCUAUCCACUAACUAACCAAUUCCUGGACUCACUCCAGUAACAAACAAACGCACUGACCCGACCAAUUUCUAGACUUUUUUUCUAGACUAAUGCAUGCACUAAUUACCCACUAUACUAUUUGGCCAUGCACACACGCAUUGACCAGCUAUUACUCAAAUGAUAUGCACACAUGCACGUGCACACAUGUCAUGAUUAGCUCCAACAGUGUGCACUAACUCCAGAUGCAUCAGCCCCGACAUCACCUCCGAGUGAACAAAAACGCUGCAACAAGCAAACCAAAUCAGGAAAAAAACCCUGAAUCAAAUCAAGCCUAUUGAGAAGCAAGAGACCAAGGGAUUUCUGCCUAUCACAUGCGGCGGUGCCAGCAUAAUAGUGCGAAGGAGCUCGUCACUGUCGAAACAUAACCGUAGCCGCAGAGAAGAUCAGUGGUGGCGGCACGAGAGAUUUACAUGUCUGUCAAGGAAGGGCAAGAAUCAUCUCAACUACACAGGGGGCAUGGCAUGAGGCCGUUCUGAUUUAGGGUAUGUUUGGUUUGAGCCCCAGCUAGCCCUACCAAAAUUUUGAGCCCCAGCUGCCGACUAAGGUAUUGUUUCACUUAUAAGUCAGACUCUCAAAUUCAAGUUUAUUUCUCACACAAAAUCGUUCCUUUCUUAUUUCAGGACUUGGGUAGCCAAUCAAGCCAUGGACAAGAUAGCACUUUUAAAUAGCUCUGUAUAAAUAUUGCUUCUCAGAAUUUCUCUACAAAACAAUAACGUCCUGAUGUAAUAGUUUAUCUUACUAUUCCUUUUGGUGUGAGAUGUAUAACAGAUUUAUUCUAAAUGGAGACAUAAAAGUGUACUGAUUAGUUGCUGGUUAUUUCUCUAUGGUUCAAUCCACAAGGAUCUUUCACCAAUUUGAGAUUUCUGUGACUGUUGUGUGACUUAAAGCAGAGAACAUGUCCACAUGAGGCUGCCUAGUUUGAAAUCAUUGAAAGCUAGUUCAAUCUCAAAUUAAUUGUUAUCUUAGCAAUAUACUACGUAGUAAUUAAUUGGAUGGCCCCUGUACUAGUCCGAAGCCAUCGAAAGCUAGCUACUAGUACAUGAUAUAGAUGAAGAAAUCAGCUACCACUAACCUCUGUCUGACGAGUGUGCAUCGGCCUCCCGUCUUGAUGUGCGCCUGCACGACCUCCUGCGGCAUCCCGGCGAAGCAGCGCCGCACCCAGCCGACCUCAUGCCCUGCAGGUCCCCACCUUCUCCAAUGGAUCUGCUCAGUCUAGGAGGGGAACGACGGCAUGCUAGAGCAGCUACUCCAGACCCGGCCGAGGCUUGGGCGCGCCGGAGUCAGGCAGCGGCUGCUCCCUCUGUCGCUGGCCACGACCACGAGCCUGGACCGUCGGACGGCGGACCUCACUUUCUCGAAUCCUCUCUCUCACGAAGCUCAGCUCAGUGGAAUAACGGUACUAGCUCGAAGCGUCCGCGGCGGAUAAGGCAAGGGAAAGGACUUUUCAGAAAACCAAACAAAACAAAAUCUGUUUAUUAAGUGGUGGGGUCCACGGGUACAUGUGUUGCUCAACUAUUGGCCCUGCACAAUAGCGCGUGCAGGGCUCCCAGCAGGAGAGCCGAACCC